GUGGCCUGGAGGAUGGGACACCAUGAUUUGCAAGACUCUGGUCACAUGCCCACACCUGUGGCUUCUGAAGCAGAGCACCAGCAGUGACAGUCCCACCAGAACCGCAUGGAAUAGAAAACUGUGCAUUUCCCUAAGGAAAGGGAAUGCCAGAGAAGGGCAGAAGGGAAAUCAGGAAGACAAAACGUGUCUUCAUGUUGGAGUGGACCUUUCCUCUAUCUGUCAACAGAAUGGAUAAAUUGUGGAAGAGUAAUAUCAGAAUACUACACAUCAGUAAAAAACAACAAACUUCUGCUACAAACAAUCAACAUCGAUGAAUCUUUCAGGCAAAAGGGCAUCCAAAUGGAGGCUAAUGAGUGCAUCCCAAAAUGCUGGUCCAACAUGAUCAAUACAGACUCCUUGGCUGGAUUCUCAGAAAUAUGGAUUCCAAUGCAAAAGGUUAAUGCCUACAAUAAGUGUUCUUGAAAUACAGUCACGCGUUGCUUAACCAUGGGGAUAUAUUCUGAUAAAUUCAUCAUUAGGCGAUUUCAUCACUGGGCGAACAUCACAGCUCGUACUCACACAAACCUAGAUGUCAUAGCCUACUACACACCUAGGCUAUAUGAUAUAGGCUAUUGCUAGCAACAAACCUGUACAGCAUGUUACUGUCUUGAAUACUUAGGCAGCAGAGCACAAUGUUAUAGAAACAGAUGAUCAGUGGCCCACGGAUUCCAGGUGAGGAUCUGGGACCCAGACAUCCAGAUAUUGAAAACACAGGGAUGGAGUCUGUAUGGAAAAAAUUAAAAUAUAGCAAAAUGUGAAAUACGGAAGAGAAAUCUUUCAAUUUCCCAAUGGAAGUGAGAAAAGAGCAAAGAAAAGUAUUGGUCUUCCAAAACAAAUAGAGGACGGAGCUGCUGCUGUUGCAUGGUGUCUAGAAACUCAGACAACUUCAUCAUUCCAUAUUUGCAUCCAAGAGAGAGAAAGAAAAA
ensembl:lncRNA LINC02290 long intergenic non-protein coding RNA 2290